UGGCUCAGUGGUUAAGAGCACUGGCUGCUCUUCCAGAGGGUCUGGGUUUGAAUCCCAG
rnacentral:tRNA from 1 species